rnacentral:rRNA from 1 species
GAUGAACGCUGGCGGCGUGCCUAAUACAUGCAAGUCGAGCGAACAGAUGAGGAGCUUGCUCCUCUGACGUUAGCGGCGGACGGGUGAGUAACACGUGGAUAACCUACCUAUAAGACUGGGAUAACUUCGGGAAACCGGAGCUAAUACCGGAUAAUAUAUUGAACCGCAUGGUUCAAUAGUGAAAGACGGUUUUGCUGUCACUUAUAGAUGGAUCCGCGCCGCAUUAGCUAGUUGGUAAGGUAACGGCUUACCAAGGCAACGAUGCGUAGCCGACCUGAGAGGGUGAUCGGCCACACUGGAACUGAGGCACGGUCCAGACUCCUACGGGAGGCAGCAGUAGGGAAUCUUCCGCAAUGGGCGAAAGCUUGACGGAGCAACGCCGCGUGAGUGAUGAAGGUCUUCGGAUCGUAAAACUCUGUUAUUAGGGAAGAACAAAUGUGUAAGUAACUAUGCACGUCUUGACGGUACCUAAUCAGAAAGCCACGGCUAACUACGUG